GCUAACUCUAUCUCCCUUAUACACUUAAAAAACGCUCUCCUCAUAUUUCAAAGAGAUUUUAAUCUUCUCUCAUACACACAAAACAUUCGAAGGGGGAAAAAAAAGGCCUUCAUUUUUCUUCUUCGGCACAAAAUCAUCAGGUAGAGAUGGGAUUUAUUAUGGAGUUCGCUGAGAAUUUAGUACUGAGGUUAAUGGAAGAUCCACAAGAGAGGGAUCGUAAGUUCCGAGAACAUGUUUAUGCAGUUAAGGAUCAAUGUAAGAAGACCAAAGAAAUGUGGAGUUUACCUAUUCGUCCUUAUGGGUUUUGGACUUUCGAGCGUCAUAACUCACAAAUGGCUUGGGAUGCUCAGAUUAGUCAAGUUCCAGGACGAAGGGAUCCUUAUGAUGAUCUCCUCGAAGAUAAGACUACUAAACUUGGCAAAUCACCCUAAAUGUGUUGGAAGCAGUCUUGCUACUUCAACAUGUUGAAACUUACAAUUAUGAUUUGAAUAAGAAGGAGAAAAUGUGCUCUGGAUUUGCAGAAUGACAUGGAGCUAUAUGUAAGGGAAUGAGAAUGUCGAUUGUUUUUACUAGUUGUACACUGCGGAAUCAAAGUCGUGUUCUGUGUUGGGUGAAAAGCCGAAGUUUCUUCACUGUUUAAAGUUUCAUUUGUUGCUAAUAAUAUUCUGAAGAACAUCUAUUGUACAAUGCUUUACUAGAACUCGAGACUGGAGUUUCUGUAAAACAGUGUUCUGUUGUCCUUGGUUUUCGACUCAAAUACACAAAAUCAAAUUGUUGUGUUGAACGAUC